UUUUUUUUUUUUUUUUUUUUUUUUUUUUUUUCCG
rnacentral:ribozyme from 1 species